rnacentral:rRNA from 1 species
CGAAAGCGUGGGGAGCAAACAGGAUUAGAUACCCUGGUAGUCCACGCCGUAAACGAUGAGAGCUAGUUGUCUGGCAGCAUGCUGUCAGGUGACGCAGCUAACGCAUUAAGCUCUCCGCCUGGGGAGUACGGCCGCAAGGUUAAAACUCAAAGAAAUUGACGGGGGCCCGCACAAGCGGCGGAGCAUGUGGAUUAAUUCGAUGCAACGCGAAGAACCUUACCUGGGCUUGACAUACACCAGAUCGCUGCAGAGAUGUAGUUUCCCUUUGUGGCUGGUGUACAGGUGGUGCAUGGUUGUCGUCAGCUCGUGUCGUGAGAUGUUGGGUUAAGUCCCGCAACGAGCGCAACCCUUGUCUUAUGUUGCCAGCAUUUGGUUGGGGACUCAUGAGAGACUGCCGGGGUCAACUCGGAGGAAGGUGGGGAUGACGUCA